AUGGAUUCCAACAAGGCAAGCUACGAUGCUGGACAGGCCAAGGGCCAAACUCAGGAAAAGGCUAGCAACAUGAUGGACAAAGCUAGUAAUACUGCUCAAUCUGCUAAGGAAUCAAUGCAAGAGACUGGUCAGCAAAUGCAGGCAAAGGCACAUGGAGCUGUUGAUGCUGCCAAGGAUGCAAUGCACAGCAAAUAA